UAUAGGUAGAGGUUGCGGUAUUUAUUAGUAACUUAUCGGAUGAGGCAAGACUCAAGAGAAGGUAAGAGAAAGGAACUAUCGCCGAAAGAGGAGAAUUACUUGCAGUUCUAAUCUUGGGGAUGCAGAGAAUAUCUGUAUAACUGUCAUCUUUUUAUUAAGAUGGGGCGCUAUCAGU
rnacentral:ncRNA from 1 species